AUUGAACGCUGGCGGCAGGCUUAACACAUGCAAGUCGAGCGAACGGAGGACGGGUGAGGAAUGUCUGGAAACCUGACUGAACGAGGGGGAUAACUACUGUCAACGGUAGCUAAUGCCGCAUACCAUCGGAUGUGCCCACAUGGGAUUGGCUAGUAGGUGGGGUAAUGGCUCACCUAGGCGACGAUCCCUAGCUGGUCUGAGAGGAUGACCAGCCACACUGGGACUGAGACACGGUCCAGACUCCUACGGGAGUCAGCAGUGGGGAAUAUUGCGCAAUGGGCGCAAGGCGUAUGCAGCAAUGCCGCGUGUGUGAAGAAGGCCUUCGGGUUGUAAAGCACUUUCUGCGGGUAGGCGUGACCCGCAGAAGAAGCACCGGCUAACUCCGUGCCAGCAGCCGCGGUAAUAC
rnacentral:rRNA from 1 species